AGGCGCGGCCGGCUACCCGCGCGGGGCGGAGCGCAGGACCGCAGCUCGCGCCCCCGCCACCGCCCUCGGGGGCCGACCUCCUUCCCUCCUUCCCUCCCUCCCUCCCUCCCUCCGGGGGCGCGGGACCCCUCGCCCCAGUGCCAGCACGGGCAGGCGGCCGUCUGCCCCCACCAGCCCUGGCCCAGGCGCCCCCCAGCCCCCUUCACCCCGCCCGCCCAGCACCCUGCAGGGCUGCGUCGCCCCUCCUCGGGGACGCCCCUUCCACGCCUCCAGAAGUCUCCACGGAGCCCCCCUUCCCCUUUCUUUGUCACUUUUAAUCCCAUUCCUCGAACUGGAGGGUUUUGGGUGCAGGCGCUCCCGGGGAAAGCAGUUUGUGCUCAGUGCGGUGAGUCCCCUCCUCACCGCCCCGGAGGCUCCAGCCCGAGCCUCUCCGCCCGCGGGGACUCGAGCCUGCAGCUUGCUCGGCUGGGUUUCUGCCCUGCCCGCUCCCUAGCUCUGCUGCAGGGCCGGCAGCGGCAGUUCUGCCUGAAACGCAAGAAUUAAUAGUCUGCUCUGGGGAGACAGUGGGGAAGCCGUGAGCGACCGGGCCUUUUCCAGAGGCCACUAUUUACCUUGAAGUUUCCUGUUGACCCUCUGCUGACCCACCCGCUUAAAUAGAUUAGAACUUAAACAUCGCAAUUCUGAUACAUUUAUUUCUUUGAAGUUCUGCAGCAUAAGGAAUCCUAACGCGAAUCCGUGAACAGUCUAUUCCGACGGCGCAGAGAAAUCUCACGCGGGGAUCCCCACGAUGUGCCGGCGCUUAACGCAGACGCCCGAACCCAGGGGAAGGCUGCGACUCCGCGAUGAGUGACAUGCGGGCUUGAGACGUUCUAAAGGAACGUGGACCGAGUUAGGGAACGUAACUGAAGCUCAUUUUGUCUUAGUUAUGGACUAUGAGUCCUUAAUAAAUUUGUUUCCAAGACACGUGAAAGCAAUCAAGCUCCCCUGGGUUGGCGCAGAACUUGAGCACUUAAGAGCUGGAAGAGCUGGCGAUCGACCAUCCAUCCCACUCCACCUCCAAUCUUAAAACAAGGAAACAAGACACGAGGUUCGUCCGCUUGCCACACUCCCUGCGCUUUGCAGCACCGCAGCUGCCCCAGCAUAGUGCAGUUUCUCCUAGGAAACAUUGCCCUUCCUCUCCUCUCCCAGCCCUGGACCACCACUUUCCACCACCUGUCCCAGCAAAUCAGUGCAGUGGUGUUAGCCCCAUCUUACUCCAGGACAUUGACCCAGGGCCAAAGUCACUUGCCCAAGGCGGCAGAGAAAGCUCAAGGCAGACCCAGAAAUAGUCUAGGUUUCCCUCCUUCCACUCAGCCAUGGGAAAGGCUCCUCCUACUGCUGUUUGGCUGCAGCACUAGACAUUUCUAGCCAGUAAUUAAGUUUGUGACAACGAUGACAACAACUGUUGAUGUGGGUUUUUUGCUUCUUACAUAGAUACUUGGAUCCACAACAACAAUUACUGAUAAUUAUAGGUGUUGUUUCUGUUUUCAUGCAUUGGGAGAGUAUACUACUAGUUUAGAAUGUAUACUACUUUAUUUUAUUUUGUGUUUUUUACAUUUAUUUAUGUAUUUAUUUUUAUUUAUUUAUUUAUUUAUUUAUUUUGAGACCAAGUCUCGCUCUGUUGCGCAGGCUGGAGCGCAGUGGCGUGAUUUCGGCUCAGUGCAACCUCCGCCUUCUGGAUUCAAAUGAUUCUCCUGCCUCCGCCUCCCGAGUAGCUGGGAUUAUAGGUGCCCGCCACCACGCCCAGCUAAUUAUUGUAUUUUCAGUUAGAGACAGGGUCUCACCAUGCUGGCCAGGCUGGUCAAUCCGCCCGCCUCAGCCUCCCAAAGUGCUGGGAUUGCAGCGUGAGCCACCGCGCGGCAGAGAAUGUAUACUAGUUUUGAUGCUACACUAGUUCAGAGGGGUAUACUAGCUUGAGUAUAAUAAAUUAGAGUGGGGCUUUCUCAAAAUAAUUCUAAUCGAAAGUCAUUUUUCAGUAAUAACCAGAGUACAUAGGACAUCACACUGAUCUAGGUUCAGAUCCAUAUUUGGCCACUUACUAGUGCCUUAGACACAACAGUCACUCUUUCUCCAGCCCGUUUUAUCAGCUGAAAAGUAGAGAAGUAGAGCUUAUCAUAUCCAUAUCCAUCUCAUAGAUCUCAUAGGUUAUGAGUCAGUCUUUCUUUUUUUUUGAGAUAGAGUCUUGCUCUGUUGUUCAGGCUAAAGGGCAAUGGCACAAUCUUAGCUCACUGCUGCCUCAGACUCCCAGGCUCAAGCAAUCCUUCCUCAGCCUCUAGAGCAGCUAAGACUACAGACAAAUACCACUAUGCCCAGCUAAUUUUUAAAUUGUUUGUAGAGAUAAGGUCUCACUAUGUGGCCCAGGCUGGUCUUGAACUCCUGUCCUCAAGCGAUUCUCCCGCUUCAGCCUCCCAUAGUGCUGGGAUUACAGGUGUGAGCCACGGCACCUGGUCAUAAGUUAUGAAUGUUAAAUAAAAUAAUGUAUCAGAAAACAGUACGGCUGGGUAUGGUGGCUCACGCCUGUAAUCCCAGCAUUUUGGGAGGCCGAAGUGGGCAGAUACCUGAGCUCGGGAGUUCGAGACCAGCCUGACCAACAUGGAGAAACCCCGUCUCUACUAAAAAUACAAAAUUAGCCGGGCAUGG
rnacentral:lncRNA from 1 species